CUAAAUAUUCUAAAUUCUAAUUCUAAACACAAGGACACCAGUAUGGGUUAAGCCAGAGAGCUUCCGAAAAGGGGAAAUCCCACCUAUGUUUACCUAACCAAAUCACUCAUUUCUGCUCAAAAUAUCAAAAAGAAAUUUUACAGAAAUUCUCUUAGAUGACCUUACAUUCACAUUAUAGCAAAAAAAUGGGGAAAAAUUCAAAGGAAAGGCAAAAAAAAAAAUUUAAGAAAAAAUAUAUUGAAAUUAAAGGGAACUAUAUUUGUGAACGAAAAUUGACAACGAAAAUUGAAGGGGGAUAAUUGUGUUCCCGGACCAGUACUAACAACACAAUUCAUUAACAAAAAUAAGAUAAUCCGAUCAAUUUUGUCGAUUCAGGGACUUUCCUGCUUGGUUGGAUAAUAAACGGC
rnacentral:lncRNA from 1 species